GAUGAACGCUGGCGGCGUGCCUAAUACAUGCAAGUCGAGCGAACGGACGAGAAGCUUGCUUUUCUGAUGUUAGCGGCGGACGGGUGAGUAACACGUGGAUAACCUACCUAUCAGACUGGGAUAACUUCGGGAAACCGGAGCUAAUACCGGAUAAUAUUCUGAACCGCAUGGUUCAAAAGUGAAAGACGGUCUUGGUGUCACUUAUAGAUGGAUCCGCGCUGCAUUAGCUAGUUGGUAAGGUAACGGCGUACCAAGGCAACGAUGCAUAGCCGACCUGAGAGGGGGAUCGGCCACACGAGAACGGAUACGAGGACCAGACGCCUACGGGAGGCAGCAGUAGGGAAUCUUCCGCAAUGGGCGGAAGCCUGACGGAGCAGCGCCGCGUGAGUGAUGAAGGUCUUCGGAGCGUAAAACUCUGUUAUUAGGGAAGAACAUAUGUGGAAGUAACUGUGCACAGCUUGACGGUACCUAAUCAGAAAGCCACGGCUAACUACGUG
rnacentral:rRNA from 1 species